rnacentral:rRNA from 1 species
UACGUAGGGUGCAAGCGUUGUCCGGAAUUAUUGGGCGUAAAGAGCGCGCAGGCGGCUUGGCAAGUCGGGUGUGAAAUCCCGGGGCUCAACCCCGUGACUGCAUUCGAUACUGUCAGGCUAGAGGUAGGUAGGGGAGAUCGGAAUUCCUGGUGUAGCGGUGAAAUGCGCAGAGUAUCAGGAGGAACACCGGUGGCGAAGGCGGAUCUCUGGGCCUUACCUGACGCUCGAGGCGCGAAAGCUAGGGGAGCGAACAGG